UAUAUGUAGGUGAUGUCUAUUUUUAACCGAAGUUCCACAUAGAAAGUCACCUAAAAUUGCUAAGAGCUUGGGACCGACAAGAUGCUCUAAAAAAUGUCUUCCGUUCAAUGUGGAGAACCUUUUUCCUCCCAUCGCGAAACAUACGAUAACAAAUAUUUACACGUAGAUAUCUCAAUAUAUAAAAGAUCCCCGUCGUCAUUGUCUGGCAGUUAACGGAGUGGAAUGACAUUUUUUAUGGAAGAGGAUAUUGCGCGAUAGUGGACUCUGCGUAUCGUUAAAAUGAUUACCUUUUACUCAUUAUCGUUUCUUAUUCUUCUUGUAUGUCAAGUGUUGGUUCUGUGCGAUAUUCGAUCGGUAAUAUCGGCAAAUUUUGA